GUGCGAGACCGAUAGCGAACAAGUACCGUGAGGGAAAGAUGAAAAGAACUUUGAAAAGAGAGUUAAAGAGUACCUGAAACUGGUCAGAGGGAACCGUAUCGCUUCCAGUGUUGUAUCCUGUGCAUAUUUCAUUAGCGGAGUAAUUUGCUGGUGCCCUGUGCACGGGUGUGACGUCAGAGUCAGUUUGUAUGCUGCGGGAGAUGGUCAGUGAGGAGGUGCGUCACUUCGGUGAAAGUUAUACCUUGCUGUCUAGUAGCCGUGGUUGAGACUGAGGUGCCUAC
rnacentral:rRNA from 1 species